UGGUUCUGGCGUCGAUGAAGAACGCAGCGAAAUGCGAUAAGUAAUGUGAAUUGCAGAAUUCAGUGAAUCAUCGAAUCUUUGAACGCAUAUUGCGCCCUUUGGCAUUCCGAAGGGCAUGCCUAUUCGAGCGUCAUUAGCUAAACUCAAGCCCGGCUUGUCAUUGGACCCCGUCGUUGAAGAUGGGUCUGGAAGUUAAUGGCGGUGUCGUCGAGACCCCAGAUGCAGCGAGCUUUCUUGGCAUACAUCUGCGCGGUCCCGGCGGCCCGGCCUCGCAUGGUCCCACCCGCGGCGCAGCCCGGGGCGGACAUUUCUCGCAGGUUGACCUCGGAUUAGGUAGGAAUACCCGCUGA
rnacentral:misc_RNA from 1 species